GGCCACAGGAAAAAUGGACCAAAACCAAAGCCGUACAGGAUCAGAAAGGAACGCGGGCAAAGGAUGGGAUCACAUGCCCCGGAUUUUAACUCUUUGGAAAAAUAAAUACUGAGCACCAGGCAGUGAGAACUCCUUUAGCGGUGUUUUGGACUAGGUGACCCACCGAGUCAGAUGGACUGGGAUUGUGUUAGAGCCGCUCACACUGGGACAAUUCACAAAACAGUUGAAAGAUGCUUCUAGUGACCAGCUACAAAGGGACCAGUGUGAGGCAGGCUGUGCAAAACAGUUUUAAGGCUUCAGAGAAGCAGAACUGGAACAUCAAAGCGUGGUGUCAGAGAUGGCUGUAACAGCCGUAUUUCGAAUUACAGCAACUGUUCUACUAACACGGUAAGAGAAACAGAAAGGAGCUGCCUCCACAGGCUGGGAAACAUCACUCGCAGCUCGCUGGUGCUAUUUCCUUACAGGAAAACGUUUUAGAGAGAGAAGGAAACUGCAAGGGAGGCCUCGGUGUUCUGUGCUGGAUGCCAGGGCCCCGCAGAGGAGCUGAAAUGCCUUUUGCAGGGAGGUGAGACAUCCCACACCGCAUCCAGGUCCCCACGGGGGAGGAAGGGAAUGGUCCUCACUGCCAUGCAGCGGAGAACCGCGGGCGAUGGAGGUGCAGGGGAUGGAGGGAUGCGGGUGAUGGAGAUGUGGGCGAUGGAGAGCCAUAGACUUACCGUCCU